rnacentral:ncRNA from 1 species
AAAAAGGCUGAGAAAAAGAGGAGUAGGCAGGAAGCCGCCCGCCAGAGAGAGCAGUCAGCUGGCUGAGAGACUGCUUGGGGAAAGGUCUGCUGAAGGUAGCUUUUGAGCCCGGCCCUUGAACCUGAUUUUUGCGGUUGAGAAGAUCAGACAGUAGAGGACUGCGGGGGUUCCCGUUACAGGACAGAUGAGAUUGCCGUUUUAUACUUGUGCGGCAGAAUAAAGGUGGUACCGCGGUGAUUCGCCCUUUGC